ensembl:lncRNA
CUGCAAAACAGUGAUUUUCCGUGAUCGCUAUCACAUCAAUCGAUGAUAAAGCCGUUGACAAACUACUUUCUGCAGUUUUUGAAAUUUCAACAUUACCCAAAAGACCUAAAUGACGAGGCUGUUUAGAGUUGAAAUCCUGCACAAUUCGCCCUAUUUUACCCUCGUGCUUCCCAAAGCCUCAAGUUAAAUGAGCCAAACCCACUGACUCCGCGCUCAGGAGCCACUCGGACGCCCUGAGCCCCGCCCUGUGCCCCCUCGGCCGGGCCUGGAGCCCUCGGUCCCUGAGGACAAACCUGCACAUCCUCCUCAGGGGGCGCGCGGGGCGGCCACACCUUCGUCAGUCAGCGCGUUCACGACGAGGAGCGCGAGCGGAGUCUGGUCCCUGCUCAGCGCCCGCGACUGUCGCCUGCCACACACGACCGGGGUCGGCGCCCUCACCAGGGUCCAGGCUCUGAGGGGCCGCUGCCGCCAACGUCCCCGCUGCCAAGUCCGCUGACGCCCAACGGUCGCCGCCGCCGCCGGCUCUGAGGGCCCUGGGGGAGGGGCUGGCCGCUGCGGCCCCGCCUCCAAGCGCCGACCACGCCCCCGACACGCCCACCGCGGACUUCCGGCUGGCGGGGGAAUCCGCUUCUCACCUCAGGGCCGGCUCCUUUAGCGCCCUCUCUGGUCACCAGGAGAAGAGGUGAGCAACACCUCAUUCCUUCCAGGUGUGGGAAAAUGUUCAGACUCCUCAUUCCAGGUGGGGAUCUUUUUCCUGCUGGAGAGGGUAGAAGUGCUGACUUCCCACCAGAGCUCCACCUUCCUUGGAUGGAAGAGGUGACCUCAAUAACAAGUGAAAAUGGUCUGCAUUCUGGAACACUCACAUACGGAAGAAGAAUCCAGAUGAACAGAAAGGACGAUGGCCCAGCAGCAGCUCAGUCUAUGCUUGUUGAUCAAUCACCUCCAUACACUCUAGUUCUGUAUCCACAUCAAGGAGGGCUCCCUGAGUGAUUCCUGAGCAACGCCACCAAUGACUGACAGUUACUCUGUGUCCCCCACACUCCCCAUGAGGGCCUGUUGGAGGAGCUUUCUCAUGAGAGGAUGGAGGAAGAGACCCCAUCUAACACCAAGGGAUCCCACAGUUUGAUCUUACACUGAGCCUGCAGAAUUUAUAUUCAGCUGUGCAGAUGUUUAAAAACUCCCCAGCCCUCCCACGUGACAGCACUAACAAGGGUACCAGGAAGAAACGCCAAGAGAGGAGCCUUGUGCCAACCUCACAAAGGCUUCAGGUUGACCUCAGCAGCUGUGAAGGGCCAAGCUCUGCUGUGAGCUGACUUUCUGAGGGUUCCUGGGAGGCUACUCCUGCCGAGCACUACAUGGGCCCGUGAACAGAGGGCGCGCCAUGGCAGGGCCCAUCCAGCAGUGGAAGGACCCCCUGCCUGCACCAACUUCCCUCACUGAAACCGUGGAACUCAAGAUGGAGGGCAGGGGAGGGGGGCAAAUGCAGAAUGUGGCAUUUAAACCUGAAAUGCGUGUGGAAUCCAGCAUUUGUAGAUUAAUUUGACUAGGUUAUCUUUUCUUUUUCAAGCAUGGAUAAAAACUUGAAAUAAAAAUGAAACAGCGCUCAUUGAAAAUGAAGAAAGUAAUAAAUUUGCAUACUUAGUUUUGUGGCAUUCACAAUCCAC